rnacentral:lncRNA from 1 species
GGAAUAGACUGUUGGGGCGAAAGCUUAGAUUUAGAAACAAGAACUAAGAGAUUUGGGUGAGAAUUGAGAAAGUUAGGAGAUUUUUGGUGUGGGUUUGUUUGAGAGAGUAUGAGUGUUUGUGAGAGGAAGAGAGAGUGAAAGAGAUGAAGGUCGUGGUUAUGGGUAGUUCUAGGGUCGUCCGGUUAGGUUUAAGGCUGGUUAACUCGAAUUAAACCGGACAAAAUCGAAGAGGGACUUACCUGGACCGGCUCGGGAGCGACCUGGAGUGGUCGCUCUGAUGGGUCACUCCGUGUCGCAGUAAAUGCGAGCGACCUCACGUGGUCGCUGCGUCACGUCGCUCCCAGCGACAGA